AUUUUAUAGUAGAGGUUUUUUUUUUUAACAGUAAAGUGAAACACACGCAAACAAAUGAGUUAUUCUUCCAAAACUCACAUCCAAGUAAUUAUUGACUAGGAGGAGUCUUGGCACAUGCCUGUAAACUUACACACACACACACGCCCACAAUCAAUGUGAGAGCUCGAAGGCUCUGUCCUAGGCACACCUCAUAUGGGAUCUCAACCAGACCACACCGGCUCACCCACAAAUGGCAACAAGGGCUUAAAUCACCCACAAUGAACUCUAAAAGUAAUUAAUGAAAUUUGAAUUUGAGAUGAGACAUAUUAAGAGUUGAAUUUUUAAACACUGAUUUCAUAGCGAAGUGAUUUUUUAUACAGGAAACAGCGGGCUGACAUUUGUGUGGCAUUUG
rnacentral:misc_RNA from 1 species